rnacentral:lncRNA from 1 species
GAAAUAACUAAAAGUUUGAUAAAUCUUUAUCAAAUUAACUGGGAUACAAAAUUACAGCCAACUAAUGCCCACAAGUCCAGUCGUCGUGCUCAUCAUAUAGCAGUUAGUGCUGCGCAAUACGAUUGGUUUUGUGUUACUUUUGUAGGAGUAUCAGUACAUUGUCGGUGUCGUCUCCUGUAGCAGUAGGUAAAGUUUUCCUAUAAGAUAUUUUAUCAAAUACAUUACGGGCAUUAGUAGUGUUUGGUAAUAAUACAAGUGGAUUUACAAUAAAAGUGUUAGGAACUGACAAGAAAUUAAACAUUAAACAGAAUAUAUAACAGAAUUCACAUGCAUGUACACAUUCCACCAAGAAAAUAGGGAGAAAACAAAAAAGAAAGAAAGAAACACGAAAAAAACUCAGCGCAUGUCACAGGUACGAAAAGGGGAAAAGAAAGAGCAAAUAGAAAAAUCUGAAAAUCUAACCAAAAGCUAAAAAUGAGAGAGACGAAGUAAUAAUGAAGAGACCCGAAACAGAGCCUAAGUAAAGCACACAAAAGGCGACAGUUGAGUACACAACAACUAUUUGCAAACGAUGUUGCGUAGAAGUGUGACCAAAAAGUGUUAAACUAAUUAAAUAAGAAGAUUUUAGGUAAAUCUUAGCCCAAGAUAAUUUACCCUAGAUCUAAAAUAGAAGAUAAGAAUGAGCAAGCAUAGCACACAUAAGAUUUAACUAUAACACUGAUUGAAUCUCAUUAUAUAAGAGGAGGAUGGUAAUUUUCAUAAUAUUAAACAACAAUUAAGAAAACAUUAAUGAGAAAGGUCACCGUUCUUUAACAAGGUAGAACCUCAUACAUUUGAUAUGAUGAGACUAACGAUAUGUAUUGAAGAACUGAGCUUCCUUGCUUCUUUAUCCUUCGUGGUGGAGAGAUCUCUCCUCCUUUCUGGAAAUAUGUCUGUGUCUCCAUUUUUUUU